AUUGAACGCUGGCGGCAGGCCUAACACAUGCACGUCGAACGAGUGGCGGACGGGUGAGUAAUGUCUGGGAAACUGCCUGAUGGAGGGGGAUAACUACUGGAAACGGUAGCUAAUACCGCAUACCAUCAGAUGUGCCCAGAUGGGAUUAGCUAGUUGGUGGGGUAACGGCUACCCAAGGCGACGAUCCCUAGCUGGUCUGAGAGGAUGACAAGCCACACUGGACAUGAGACACGGUCCAGACUCCUACGGGAGGCAGCAGUGGGGAAUAUUGCACAAUGGGCGCAAGCCUGAUGAAGCCAUGCCGCGUGUAUGAAUAAGGCCUUCGGGUUGUAAAGUACUUUCAGCGGGGAGGCGUUACCCGCAGAAGAAGCACCGGCGAACUCCGUGCCAGCAGCCGCGGUAAUAC
rnacentral:rRNA from 1 species